rnacentral:lncRNA from 1 species
AAAAUGUGAUACAUUUACAUUAAACCCUAAAUGGCGUAUUUAUAGUGUUCAAUGAGAGUCCUUAUGAGGAUAGAAAUCCGUAUUAAAGUUGGGAGAAUCCUAAUAGGAAAUCUGGGAAGAUAUUCCCUUUCCAUUAGGCUAAUAAUUACUUGGAGCACAUGCUAAUUCCCAUAAUAAUAGGAAUUCCCAAGAUUUUCUCCUAAUAAAAGUAGGAUUAGGAGUUAUGUUCCUCGAGGGCCUAGUAG